rnacentral:lncRNA from 1 species
AAAUUAAGGCUAAGUGCGGCGUUGGGAUGGGUAAAUAAUGGUAGGAAGGGAAACUUGAUGAUCGGAGUAAAUAAGAGAAGAAGAUAAAAACUCGCAAGACUUUUCACUUUUUUUUAACUUGAUUUUUUUUGCUCUCCUCUUUUUUUUCUUUUCUUUUUUUUUGCUCGAUUUUUUUUCACUUUUUUUUGAAUUUUUUUUUCAAUCAAUUUUUUUUCGAAUUUUU